GGUUGUUAUAAUGAUGAUGUUUUCAUGGUGUUGGGAGUAAGACUUGGAUGUCUGAUAUUGUUAACAUGUUGGUUAACAUCAGGUUUCCAUUGGGUUACUUGCUGGGAUAAAGCUGUUAUAAGUCGAAAGAGUUGCUGUUGCUGCCUUCCUUGUAUGGUAAAAUCCUCAGACUACAAUCCUGCAAACCAUUGGAUGAACUGACUUACUGUUGCUAUCUUUUGUAAAAAAAUCAGCAGAUAUUUGUCUUAUAAGCAGAAUGAAUUAUAAAUGCAAUUAAUUUUUAAUG